rnacentral:rRNA from 1 species
GGGAUUGCCUCAGUAACGGCGAGUGAAGCGGCAACAGCUCAAAUUUGAAAUCUGGCUCCUCUCGGGGUCCGAGUUGUAAUUUGUAGAGAGUGUUUCGGGGGAGACCGCGGUCUAAGUCCAUUGGAACAUGGCGUCAUAGAGGGUGAGAAUCCCGUCUGUGACCGCGGAUCAAGCCCAUGUGAAGCCUCUUCGACGAGUCGAGUUGUUUGGGAAUGCAGCUCAAAAUGGGUGGUAAAUUUCAUCUAAAGCUAAAUAUUGGCUGGAGACCGAUAGCGCACAAGUAGAGUGAUCGAAAGAUGAAAAGCACUUUGGAAAGAGAGUUAAACAGUACGUGAAAUUGUUGAAAGGGAAGCGCUUGCGACCAGACCUGCCCGUGGGCGAUCAGCCGCUGUUCUCAGCGGUGCACUCGUUCCACGAUCAGGCCAGCAUCGGUUUCGGCGGUCGGAUAAAGGCCUUGGGAAUGUAGCUUCCUUUCGGGGGAGUCUUAUAGCCCUUGGUGCAAUGCGGCCAGCCGGGACCGAGGACCGCGCUUCGGCUAGGAUGCUGGCGUAAUGGUCGUAAGCGACCCGUCUUGAAACACGGACCAAGGAGUCUAACAUCUAUGCGAGUGUUUGGGUGUCAAACCCAUGCGCAGAAUGAAAGUGAACGGAGGUGAGAACCCUUAAGGGCGCAUCAUCGACCGAUCCAGAUGUCUUCGGAUGGAUUUGAGUAUGAGCAUAGCUGUUGGGACCCGAAAGAUGGUGAACUAUGCCUGAAUAGGGUGAAGCCAGAGGAAACUCUGGUGGAGGCUCGCAGCGGUUCUGACGUGCAAAUCGAUCGUCAAAUUUGGGUAUAGGGGCGAAAGACUAAUCG